rnacentral:tRNA from 2 species
GCCGAAGUGGCGGAAUAGGCAUACGCGCACGACUCAAAAUCGUGUGCCUUCGGGCAUGUGGGUUCGAUUCCCACCUUCGGCA